GACGAACGCUGGCGGCGUGCCUAACACAUGCAAGUCGAACGGAGAUAUGAUUUCGGUUAUAUCUUAGUGGCGAACGGGUGAGUAACGCGUGAGCAACCUGACCUUCAGAGGGGGAUAACACUUGGAAACAGGUGCUAAUACCGCAUAAGACCACGACCCGACAUCGGGAUGCGGUCAAAGGAGCAAUCCGCUGAGGGAGGGGCUCGCGUCCCAUUAGAUAGAUGGCGGGGUAACGGCCCACCAUGUCGACGAUGGGUAGCCGAGCUGAGAGGCUGAUCGGCCACACUGGAACUGAGACACGGUCCAGACUCCUACGGGAGGCAGCAGUGGGGAAUAUUGGGCAAUGGGCGCAAGCCUGACCCAGCAACGCCGCGUGAGGGAAGAAGGCCUUCGAGUUGUAAACCUCUGUCCUUGGUGACGAAAAAAAUGACGGUAGCCAAGGAGGAAGCCCCGGCUAACUACGUG
rnacentral:rRNA from 1 species